UACGUAGGGCGCAAGCGUUGUCCGGAAUUAUUGGGCGUAAAGAGCUCGUAGGCGGCCAGUUGCGUCUGCUGUGAAAUCCCGGGGCUCAACCCCGGGCGUGCAGUGGAUACGGGCUGGCUAGAGGCAGGCAGGGGAGAACGGAAUUCCCGGUGUAGCGGUGAAAUGCGCAGAUAUCGGGAGGAACACCGGUGGCGAAGGCGGUUCUCUGGGCCUAUUCUGACGCUGAGGAGCGAAAGCAUGGGGAGCGAACAGG
rnacentral:rRNA from 1 species